rnacentral:rRNA from 1 species
GAUGAACGCUGGCGGCAGGCUUAAUACAUGCAAGUCGAACGGUAACAGUACUAGCAAUAGUAGCUGACGAGUGGCGCACGGGUGCGUAACGCGUAUGCAACCUACCCAUAAUUGGAACAUAACGUUGAGAAAUUAGCGCUAAUAUUCCAUGUGAAUAUGAUAAGGCAUCUUAUUAUAUUUAAAGAUUCAUUGAUUAUGGAUGGGCAUGCGUAUCAUUAGCUAGUUGGUGAGGUAACGGCUCACCAAGGCGACGAUGAUUAGGGGUUCUGAGAGGAUUUCCCCCCAACUGGAACUGAGACACGGUCCAGACUCCUACGGGAGGCAGCAGUAGGGAAUAUUGGGCAAUGGAAGCAAUUCUGACCCAGCCAUGCCGCGUGAAGGAUACAGCCCUAUGGGUUUUAAACUUCUUUUAUUAUAGAGUAAACGGAGGUACGUGUACCUCCCUGCAAGUAUAUGAUGAAUAAGGAUCGGUAACCUCCGUGCC